UACUCAUCAUCACCAUCAUCACUAUCGUCAUCACAAUCACCACCACCACCAUCAUCAUCAGUACCUGGGAAGAGCCCCCAGGGUUUCAUUUCCUUCCUCUGUCUCCCACAUAUUCCUCAUUUCUCUCCCUCUCUCCUCCAUUUCUUGUCCCUCACAUUCUCUUUGUCCUGCUGUCCCCAGAGCUUGCCUUUCCCUGAGACUGCGAAUAUUUCACCAUGUCAUGAUUAACCAGCCCAUGGGAACAGAAGCACGGGGCCUUUCUCUGUUGAGACUUGGGAUGGAGACAUUUUUCAGGGGGCUUUGAGACCUUGGGAAAACCGCCUUUUCCUUCCCUCCCGUGAGCUUCACACUAGCAGGGGAGGCAAGUAAGAUUCCUGGUCCUUGGGCUCUUCUUUGGCUCAGAUGGUGGCAUGGAUAGACUGAGAGCCUCCACUACAGGAGACCUUUGCAGUUACCUAGCUGUGUGCCUAGGAGUGAUAUACAGCAGUAUUAGUUACUGCUAAUACUGAUAAUCUAGGUUUAUUACAUAUUAUUUUAAAGGGAACUCCUAGCUUUCCCAGGGGUUUCAAGAGAAAUCAAGUGCACUCUGGAUGGAGGAUGGUAAGAAGAUUCUGGAAAAACAAAAACAGCAGAUUGUAAACAAAGAUGGCUGCUCCAGGCAUCCUGGUGCCCAGGCCCUGGGAAGAAGCCUGGGUUCUCUGGAACCAGGCAACCAAGCGCCUCUAUUCCAGCUACUCAAGUGGUCUUGACAGUAUGUACUGGUGAAAAUACAAGCGGCGCAGGUUAAAUGAGAAAAGGUUAUUGCUUUAUCUAGGACAAAGACUCUUAGUAUAGGUAUUUUCCAAAUUCCGUGUGGGACAUAUACCUAUACUUUAAAAAAAAAAAGCUUUUAAAAAAAGAAAAGGAGUUCUCUGCUUAUGACCUCCACAGCUAGCUGAAUAUCCCAUCUUCCUUUUAUCCCUCCAUCCCACACAUUGACUGGGGAGAAGCCAUCCCUAAAGUUUUCUUUUCUUGUCUUUAUUCCCACUUUUUAAAAAUUGUUAACCCACAUUUCCAGAGACUUCACCAGCCCACUGAUGCCAAUUAGCUCACUUGAAAAAAAAAAAAAAUCAAUGUCUCUGGCUGGUUUUCUCACACAGGACUUUGUCCCUGCCUGUUACCGAAGCCCUGCCUGCAGCAGCCAUAUGCUUCCAGCUCACUGCACAGCGCCCUCUAGGCCUUGGGAGGCUGCUGAGAGCCCUGCCCUUGGGAGCAGAAGCGGAGGCUGAGCCCUGGCGCCCUCUACUGGUGAGCUCCAGAUGACGCACAUGGGAGAUGCCCAGGGCAUGGCAGGCACAGCCAGCAAUCCUUCAGAGUCUGGAAAGGACCCUUUUCUGAUGACAGCCGCAGAUGGCCUCGCCACAGGCAUGUCUGCACCCCUUUCCUUGUGGGCUCCUUUCUGGCUACAUAUAUUACCUGUGAACAGGUAA